UACGAAGGGGGCGAGCGUUGUUCGGAUUUACUGGGCGUAAAGGGCGCGCAGGCGGCUUUGUUUGUCAGGCGUGAAAGCCCCGGGCUUAACCUGGGAACUGCGUUUGAUACGGCAGGGCUAGAGUUCGGGAGAGGAGAGUGGAAUUCCCAGUGUAGAGGUGAAAUUCGUAGAUAUUGGGAAGAACACCGGUGGCGAAGGCGGCUCUCUGGACCGAUACUGACGCUGAGGCGCGAAAGCGUGGGGAACAAACAGG
rnacentral:rRNA from 1 species